rnacentral:lncRNA from 1 species
GUGCUGGGGCCCGAGGAGGGGACGCGCGCCGGAACGCGGCCGUCGGGAUCAAGCGAGCGACUGAAGCGUAACCAGCCGACGCCGCACCCGCUGAGGGCCCGUACGGACCCUCUGCCUCUGCCUGGUUUCUGUGUAGCCCUGGCUGUGUUGGUACUCAAUCUGUAGACCAGUCUGGCCUUGAACUCACAGAGAUCCUCCCUCUUCUGCCUCCAGUGCUGCAUGGAAUUAAAGCCAUUUCUCUUCAGGUGUAGAAUGAGCCAAGGAGACUCAAACCCAGCAGCUAUUCCACAUGCAGCAGAAGAUAUUCAAGGAGAUGACAGGUGGAUGUCUCAGCACAAUAGGUUUGUUCUGGACUGCAAAGACAAAGAGCCGGACGUGCUGUUUGUGGGAGACUCCAUGGUACAGUUGAUGCAGCAGUACGAGAUAUGGCGGGAGCUGUUUUCCCCACUUCAUGCUCUUAAUUUUGGAAUUGGGGGAGACACAACACGACAUGUUUUUUGAUUUUCUUCAUCUCACAGGAGGGGGCUAUGCAAAGAUCUGCAAACCCCUCCAUGAACUGAUCAUGCAGUUGCUGGAGGAAACACCAGAGGAGAAGCAGACCACCAUUGCUUGACUGGCCCAUCAGUGUUAACAGCAUCCCAGCUUCCUCAGAUCAGUUAGACCACUGGCACUACAGAAUCCUUUCUUAAGGCACUUUGCAUUGUACAAUGUUCCUGGAUGCUUGUAUGUUUGAAGGGGAGGAGGGAUUUAAAUUGGUCCUGUAUAUAAAGGUUUGUUUGAAGAGAGGAGAAAAAUUAGCCAAGGAAGAUUCAUUUGAAACCAGAAGGGGACUUUUUAGUUGUUUAUGUCACACUUGUAGAAUUAUCACUGUUUUUCCUAGGACAACAUCAAGCAAGAGUACAAU